UCCAGUCUUGGUGUCGUUUCUCUAACAAGAUCCAAGUACCUCUGAUUCCAAGCUUCCUCGCUUACUAAGCUUACUAAGCUUACUAAUCCAAACUUGUGUUCAUCCAAGUCUUUCAUCUGAGGACUUCAAGUCCUACCUGAACAAACAAACAUCCACCAACCUCCCAGGCUCCACAUCGUCUCCCCUCUCUGGCGACUUCCUCCAGCUCCAUUCUCUGGUGUGUUUCCAGUUCCGGAUCUGUUCCCAGACGUCUCUGUUUAAGGAAAAUAAACUGUCUAACCUUUUUCUGUCUCGUGAGUGUUAUCUGCAUGUGGACCAAGUCAGUUAAAGCUACCAUGACACAAAUGUUUUGAUAACAUUGUAAUGGGCAAGCCACAAAAAUGUCCACCCAUGGCCACACCAACAUCAAAACGCACCCGUUCAGAGUGCUAAGCCAGCACCUCCACUAUCUCUCCAGAGAAAAGCUACGCCGAUGUCCUGGACUCUAUGGACAAGAAGCUAACAAGUCUGGAUGCUCGUCUUGCCAUGGUGGAAGUUCUCCACAGGGAAUUUCAACCUCUGAGGGAGUCUCUGGAGUUUAGCCAGGAACAAUUUGCAUCUGUCACAGCUGAGAAACAAAUGCUGUGGGAUGGCAUGAAAACACUUACCUAUGGAAUGACGCAGCUGUCCGUAGAAAAUAAAAAGAUGAAGGAGACCAUCCUGGACAUACAGGCAUGCAGUACACCCUUGUCUUCUCUGGCAUACCAGAACGUACAGAGGAGGAUGCUGAAUUCACAGUCAUCAAAAUUCCCCAACAUCAGCUGAAAUUCCCAAGUGACAAGAAGCUACACCUGGCCUGACUCUGUGUAUACCUGUGACACCUUCCUGGAGGGGGACAUCGUCCAAGCUUCUGCUGCCAACAACUUAAUGCUCACCUUCUUCCAAUGAUACACGUGGCCCUGUCUUUCAGUGUUUAUCCCUAUUUUCUCAUAGACAAAGCAACUGACUGACCUUUUACUGUGACUAACUGUAUGUGCUCUCUCUCAAACUCUAAACUUGAAAACUGGCUCAGUUUAUCUGUUUUUUUUUCCUAGAUGAAACCGCUAAAGAAGCUACAUCAAUUAACAUUAUACCUGUAUGAACCCUUCUCUUUUCCAGUGGUUAUAAUCAGUCUGACAGAAAGUGGAACCCCCAAUCCUUGUGGUUUUUAGUAUAACAAUGGCCACCAGUGGGCUCUACAUGGACAAUUCUUAUCAGUU